GGGCUCCACGCCAGGCCGGCCACGUGGUCAAAGGCGGAGCAUCCAAUGGUCUCGGAUCAAGGAUAAACAUUGGACAGAUGCUCCCUGACCUGCUGAGUUCCUCUGUAAUCUCCAUCACUCUGCUGCUGAUUGAACUAUCAUCACAUACAAUCAAUGACAACUCAAAAUGGGUAUUGGAUCAUUAAGUAUUUAAUGAAAUUAUGGCUCGAUGGAACACCGAAUAUCGAUAAGUUUGUUUCCAGGCUCAUUUACCGGUUGCAAAAUAUGUGGCAUAACAGUGGCGAAAGAUACAUUCUCGCUUCAUUGAGAAGGAAGUUACUUUUGUCUCCCUCCAUUUUGCCUCAUCAGUCGGGUAUUGCAAUAAAGUCAGCAAGAUCCCGCUUUAGGUUGUCAUUCUGUCUGACUGGACUAUGCAGCCAUGCUUCCCGCUUUCAUCGGGAAUAAUAAUAAUACAACCUUUUAUGGUUAUUCUAAACGUAAAACUUUGCUGGUUCAGCCUGUGGCUUGGGAAACCAGCCUCUGCAUGAUAAAAUCAAUUUAUUGACAUAGAUUCUGAGUAGACUGCACUUGCGGCUCAGAUUGUCAGACCAAUCCAUAUUUGUGCUCACUGCAGAGUGCAGGGAUAGCACCAAAAAAGAUAAGCAUUACAUUUCCUCUUCAGGAGAUGGGAAGCGUUUUGUUUGAAUGCUAAUGUUACAUCUUAUACGGUAUAGAUAACUGACAUCUUGGAGUUCGUUUCAAAUGGGCCUUUGACAAUAAAUUAAGUUCAUAAGACCAUUAACUGUGCCCAAUAUGUCUUCCCAUCAUCUUUGCUGCAGCAAACGGGACUCACUCUGUCAGAUUUCACCCUCUGAUCCAGAGUUUAUAGAGGAUAUCUUUCACACAAGUUCUCACAGGACAAGCACAGGGCAGUAUGGGAUUUUGACAUAGGAUUAACACUAUUUCACCAGGGGGCUCCAGCUACAUCCUUAGCUUUGGCUCGGCUCUCAUAAGGUAUUUAUCCUCAUGGCGCUGGUCUCAGCGCAAGGGGUUCAGUCAUUACAUAUUGUGACUGGACAGGAUGGUUACAUCUGCAAAUAAUAUUAUAUUUUAAUGUUUAGUUAAGCAGAACAGACGUGAGGUCUCAAACUAGUUUCAUGGCAUACCCCAUGGACCUUUGGUUGUGUAUGGUCACACAUAUACAACAAUACGUCAAGGUCACGAAGAGCCGUAGAUGCUCUGAACUAGCAAUGUUUGUAAUUACAAAAACUUUAUAAAAAGGUAUUGGUUCAGACCAUCUCCAGGUGGUUAAAACGGGGUUUGGCUCAUGAAGGAGUAGAUACUGAUAUUUUUCGAGUCUCACUCCACCAGGGCUGCUACAACAUCAGCAGCAAAGGUUAUGUACCACAUCCUGGCGACUGCAGCAUGGUCGAACGAACAAACUUUCAUAAUAACCUAUUGCCAGACCAGGGGUAUUUGCCAACUCUAUUUUAGGUUCAGUGGUUAGUUUACUCCCGGAUGAGAGGAGUUACUAUUAUUUAUUCAUUAUGAAUGUUUCCCUCAUCUGUCAAUGAAGCAGUUGUGGUUGUGUAGACUCGUUUCUCACGGCAUGAAAUCACAGAGCUUUGAAAUCUUCACGGAAUCACUCACGUGACUCCGAAGUGAAAUAGUAAGAUUAAACGAGAAGUUACCAGUUUGAAGUUUGAUCUUUAUUUUAUGAGGAGUUACGAUGAGCUAUUACGUGCCCAGCACUCCCUAUCCUCUCUCAUAAAGAUCACUCGGUAGCUCUAGGCUUCUCUAAGUCUUACUAUGUUACUUCGACUGCGACUUAUCUGUGAUUUCACACCGCUGCUUUGAAGAUUGACGCGCAUGUGGACUGGCGGGGCUUCUUCUCGUAAUCGCUCAUCGUAACUCAUAAAAUAAAGAUCAAACUUCAAACUGAUGUUCUCGUUUAAUCUUACUAUUUUUUAUCAAUCCUCCAUGACCUUCUCCUUGGUGCAUAGAAAUGCUAAGUACUCGUUUUGUAACUCACCUGAAUCCUCUGACUCCAAGCCUAAUUUUAAUCUUCUAUCCUUGUGUGAUCCUAUCUUUUCCUUAAUGACCCUCUUGUUUUUAAUGUAUGUAUAAAAGGCCUUUGGAUUUUUAAAAAUCCUAUUUACUGAUAACAUUUAAUUGCCCCUUUAGGCCCUUCUAAUUACCUACAAGUUCAUUCCUGCUUGUGCAAUGUUCAAUAAAGACCCUGUCUGAUUUUGUGUUCUGAAUCCUUCUGAAUCGUCCCUCUCUUUGGUCAUGCAAGGUCCCUCUUCCUUACUGGAACAGACCAGUCAUGAACUAUGAUUAACUUUAAAUGACUCUCACAUGUCAGAUGUGGACUUACCCUCUAACAACCACUCCCAAUUUACCGUCCCUCAGCAGUUCAUUUCAA